rnacentral:siRNA from 1 species
GUCGGCGAUACGCUCCUGG